rnacentral:rRNA from 1 species
UGCGUAGGUGGUGAGGUAAGUCGGAUGUGAAAUCUCGGAGCUCAACUCCGAAAUGGCAUUGGAAACUACCUCGCUCGAGGGUUUGAGGGGGGACUGGAAUACUUGGUGUAGCAGUGAAAUGCGUAGAUAUCAAGUGGAACACCAGUGGCGAAGGCGAGUCCCUGGACAACUCCUGACACUGAGGCACGAAAGCUAGGGGAGCAAACA